GGGCGCUUGGUCUAGGGGUAUGAUUGUAAGUUGCACUACUCAACAAUAGAACUAAAGCAGUGUUCUAACAAGCAAUAGUUCGCUUCGCAUCAAUUGAUGAACCUGUGAAAGGUCGUGGGUUCAAUUCCCACAGCGUCCA